GCGCAAUCGAUAUUAGCGCUUUCGAACUAUAACAAAAAAGCCAAGAAACAUACGAGAUACACGAAGAUGAGCAACAACCAAAGAUAAGGAAAUCAUUGUUGUUAUUAUUUGUAAAUCUGUUUGUAGAUGAUUUGUGCAUACAUGUUUCUAAUAUCUGCUUAACAAAACUCCAAUCUUUGUCAAGCGCCCAAACAUUGAGUAGAUAACACCGAUAGUGAUGAACACAAUGUUAAUUAGUAGUAAAGGUCACUAGUUAUAAGCAUAGUCAGUAAGCGAAUUCUCUGUAGUUGUUACUAUGGACCAAAUUACCUUGCGCAUUCUGCCACUAAAACCAGAAGUGGAAGCAAGUAGUUAUUUUUGAGUAGUACUAAGAUUUAUUUUGUUGAGCACCACCUAAACACAAUUCGGAAUCCAAUGUAGGACUAAUCUGCCGAAUCUGUGUACUAAGACUAGCAUAUGUCUAAAUCACUAUCAGGGCGAAAUCAAAUUUGACGAAAUUUUUGUGAAUGCCCGUUACACGUCAUUCACAAAAAUUUCGUUUGGAUUAGCUUGGUGUUGUAUUACGUAGCGGAGUUAUGUCGACUGGAUAUUUGGGUUAUUGUGUAACGAAUACAACCAUCCAACUGGCAACACUGCCACCAAGCAUAAAAGCAACGCGCGUACGCCAAUAAAGCGCCGCGACGCAAGCAAGACACCUACCAGCAGCAUUGACGACGCACAAAGAAAAAAUCUCUCACUCCUCGUACAAUCAUUGUACCGUUCAGUUCAUCGUGUACCCGAUCCACCAUCAUCCCGCAAAAGCGGUGCGGUUUUCGCCACCUCUCGAAUUUCCAGCCUAAAAGGACCGCAAGCGGUAAAGGUAACCAUUUCUCGAUCACAAUCCAGGUGAAUUCAGGCUAAAGACGUUCUUUCAACAGCUACUUGCACACGUCGGGUGGGUACACGCGACUGCAAGAGGAGAAAGCACCAAAUUAAGCACACACAUCGACGCCAUCAUCCAUUCCCACACGAGCCACACCGAGACCACCCAACAUGCUCCUUGAAGAAAGCCGUCCCUGAUAGAACCAAUUCAGCGAGAUUACAGGUAUCCGAUUCUGGCCGUACUGGCGCCAGUCAAAAGGAAAUAACGUCAUCAAUAAUCGUUGCACCACCUAGAGCAAAGGCCGCAUCCACGAGAAGGCUCUCAUCACGAGGGCCUUCUUAUCGUAUGCGCCUCUGCAUCGACGUCCCACCGGCGAUCAUCCAUCGACAGCACGCUUGUGCGUGUGUGUGACAGCAACACAUCUCGUCGGGACCGAGCGCCAAAAGAGUAGGACUGUGUUGGGAAGUUCAGUGUGUGAUUGUGCUGUGAGUCAACCAGGUACGUCUGACUGAGGCGACAUACUACACUCGGCGUGACUGUGUACGUGCAUGUUGGUGCUUGUGAAAGUUUACGUUGCCACCCAAUGAGACACGAUCAGUGCAUGGAGGAAGAUCGCAAUGAACGUGGCAUAUUAGCAAGAGAAAGACAACAGCAUAGCGGGUAGUGGUGGCGCAUUUGUGUGCGCGUCAUCGCGUCGUCGGCAGUGCAGUGCGUCGUGUAUGUGAGAGAAGUGAUGGAAUCGCCCACAGGCGUUCGAACAUUCGCUUUCCAAUAGGAAAAGCGCUCGAAUCAAUUAGCGCAUUCAGAGAAGAUAAUCAUCGUCAUCAUUCAUCACCGGGGGCCCCUGCAGCGCAUCGAUCAUCGGGCAGCAGAUUGUCGGCCGAAUACAGUGAGCUCGAAUAGUCUUAAGGUAGGCUUAGAUUAUAAGUUCGGGUGAGAAUGCACUAUGCAACAAUAUAUGCACAUUUGUAUGUUUUGAAAGAAGCUGGUGAAAGAUAGUUUUUUUCUUAUUGGCUGCCCGAGCACCUCACCAACAAAUAGUGUGCUUAGCCGGGCGUGAAUGUUAAAGGCAACAGGUCUCGGUUCACCCAAUGAGUUGAACCUUUCUGAUUUCGGCUCAGCUGAAGACGUCAUUGUUAUUAUUAUUUCUUCUUCCUUCGUUCGUUAAGAAGAAAAUAAAGAGGAUUGCAAUACAUUGUUCAUCAUCUUAUUUCGGCAUGAGCGAAACAUGCAAAAUUGUUGCAAAUGAUUGGGGAAAAGGGUGGCGUACGCCCCAUUCCCGAGAAAUGGCAAAAAAUAUCGUUUUGGCAAUAAAUAGCUGAAUCUCAAUUCAGCGGUUUGUUGCACCUGGAGGAAUCUUCGAAGGAUUUUCUGGAGAAAUUCCUGAAAAAUUCUUGAGGAUAUUCCUGGAGAAUUUCCUGGUAGAUUUUCUGAAAAAAUCUUCAGAAUAAUUUCUGGAAAAAAUCCUGGAGAAACUUGACAUAAUUUCUAAAGGAUGUCCAGGAGCAAUUCUUGGAUCAAUUCCUAGAGAAAUUGCUGGAGGAAUUCCUGAAGAAAUUCCUGGGGUAAUUCCUGGAGAAUUUCCUGGAAUAAUUCCUGGAGAAAUUCUUGGAUAAAAUCCUGGAGGUUCUCCUUUGGGAAUUGCUGGCGGAAUCCUUGAAGGAAUUUCAGGAGGAAUCUCUGAAGGAUCCCUCUCAGGGUUAUGGGGCAAGCUAUGGGGAUUCUGAUGGGAUGUCUUCCAAUACUGCAGGAGAAUUUCUCUCAGGGAUAAUCCUUAUCAGAUUUUCGGAAAAGUCUCUCUUGGGUUUCUAGAUAUAUUUCUCUGGAAUUACCCCUAUUAUGAUCCCUCUCAAGAUGCUGGGGAAUCACUCGUAGAAUUCUGAGGAAUACCUUCCGGGAUUCUGGCAGAAUUAUUCUCAGCAUUCUAAUGGAUUCCUCCCAGGAUAUUUUGAGAAUUCUGGGAGAAUACUUAAAAGGAUUCUGGAGGAAUUCUUCUAAAGAUUUUGGGGUCCUAUCUCCCAGAAUUCUGUGAGAGUAUAUCUCAGGUUUCUUUGGUAAUCCCGCCCAGUACUUUGAGGGAACCUUUCUCAGUAUUCUGGAGUAAUCCUUCUUAGGGAUUUAAGCUACCCUUUUCAGAAUUCAGGGUAAUUUCUUUUAAGUUUCUUGGGGAAUUAUCCUAGGAAUCCGAACACCUUUUUUGUGAGAAUCUCUCUAAGUAUUUUAGAUAAAUUUAUCUCAAGAAUGUGGAAAAACCGCUCUUGGAAUUCCUCGCAGGAUUCUUGGAGAAUUUAUCUUAGGAUUCUAGGAUAAUCCUAUUUCUUAAAAGAUUCUGCGGGAAUUUAUCCCAGUACUAUAUGGGAAUACUUCUGAUUGAUUGAUUUAUCUUUAUUAUAGAGACUUUCAGCCCUUGACUGAAAUACUUCUCAGAGUUCUGGGGAAUCUCAGGAUUUUUCUUUCGAUUCAAAAUGAUUAAUUUCCUUUUUUUUAAUGCACUAUCUCAUCGUUAUAUCCAUUUUCGCAUCAGAUUCACGAAGUGUUUGAUGUGCAUUCUCAAAUUUUGAUAUUGAAUUUUAGUAAAACAUACCAUGAACUUGAACUACAUGCUGCAAACGAAUCAUAUUAUACUUUUGUAAUAUUUUUUUUUGCAAUUUCUCAUCGUAAUAGGCUGUUUUACCUCACGCAAAUCUGACAGGAAAAGGCCUACUUUCCCACACCAAAUUAACAGUGCUGUAAUGGUUCAUUACAGCACUGAUUUGCGUUGCGUAAUGAACCAUUACAGCACUGUUUUCAGUUUUGAUCAACUUCUUGAUGCUUUCUGGACUCAGUUUUGAAAAAUUGUGACAACUGCGCAGUAUAACCAGUGGCGUCAUGGUCGCGGUUUUUUCCGCAGUCAAGUUUGCAGAUUGUGAACAAUCCUCAGUACCCACUUUACGUAGUUUAUGUUUAGUCCCUUACUGUCAGAGCUGUCAGAGCGGUGUAACACGCUAAAAAUAAUUUACACAAAAGGCAAUUUACACGGAAAAAAAUACACGGUAAUGAAUAUUUAUUGGGUACCGUCUACCCCCGUUGGUUUGACCUCAUCUAAUCUGAACACUUUUUAAUUUGACCCCCUCUAAUCUGCACAUCGUUCAAACUAAAAAUGGUUCAAACGUCAAUCCGCUAUUGGAACGGGGUGAAACGGAACGCAGAAUCAAAACAAAACAGCAAAAAGGGUUACCAUCAGUGUGUUUUUCGAUGUCCACAGGGUUACUAGAAGUUCAAAUUAGAAAAUGAACCCCGUUGGUUUGCAUGAGGUGUCGUUCAAACCAACGGGGGUAGACGGUA